rnacentral:rRNA from 1 species
AACGGACGCUGGCGGCAUGCCUAACACAUGCAAGUCGAACGAGACCUUCGGGUCUAGUGGCGCACGGGUGCGUAACGCGUGGGAACCUGCCCUUAGGUUCGGAAUAACUCUCCGAAAGGGGUGCUAAUACCGGAUAAUGUCUUCGGAUCAAAGAUUUAUCGCCUUUGGAUGGGCCCGCGUUGGAUUAGCUAGUUGGUAGGGUAAAAGCCUACCAAGGCGACGAUCCAUAGCUGGUCUGAGAGGAAGAUCAGCCACACUGGGACUGAGACACGGCCCAGACUCCUACGGGAGGCAGCAGUGGGGAAUAUUGGACAAUGGGCGAAAGCCUGAUCCAGCAAUGCCGCGUGAGUGAUGAAGGCCUUAGGGUUGUAAAGCUCUUUUACCCGGGAUGAUAAUGACAGUACCGGGAGAAUAAGCUCCGGCUAACUCCGUG